ACUCCUACGGGAGGCAGCAGUGGGGAAUUUUGGACAAUGGGCGCAAGCCUGAUCCAGCCAUGCCGCGUGAGUGAAGAAGGCCUUCGGGUUGUAAAGCUCUUUCGGCCGGGAAGAAAUCGCAUUGGUUAAUACCUGGUGUGGAUGACGGUACCGGAAUAAGAAGCACCGGCUAACUACGUGCCAGCAGCCGCGGUAAUACGUAGGGUGCGAGCGUUAAUCGGAAUUACUGGGCGUAAAGCGUGCGCAGGCGGUUUUGUAAGACAGGCGUGAAAUCCCCGGGCUCAACCUGGGAACUGCGCUUGUGACUGCAAGGCUAGAGUACGGCAGAGGGGGGUGGAAUUCCACGUGUAGCAGUGAAAUGCGUAGAGAUGUGGAGGAACACCAAUGGCGAAGGCAGCCCCCUGGGUCGAUACUGACGCUCAUGCACGAAAGCGUGGGUAGCAAACAGGAUUAGAUACCCUGGUAGUCCACGCCCUAAACGAUGUCAACUAGGUGUUGGGAGGGUAAAACCUUUUAGUACCGGAGCUAACGCGUGAAGUUGACCGCCUGGGGAGUACGGCCGCAAGGUUAAAACUCAAAGGAAUUGACGGGG
rnacentral:rRNA from 1 species